rnacentral:lncRNA from 1 species
UCAAACCUAAUACCUGAGCAUGAAUAGUCAAACUCCAUGACUAAAAAUAUAAAUUUAAAAGUUUUCAUUGGUCACUCAUAGCUGUACAAGUAUCCGACCUCUAUGGAUGGUCCACACGAAGCCCUCGGACCGAUCAGUCCUCCACGGGAGUGCUAGCUCGUGCAGUCAGCUUCUGAUGGUAGAUCUGACUUGAUCUCCUUCUUCGAUCAUCUUAGACCUUUUCGAUGUUGAAUAUCAAUCAGAGGAGGAUGCUAGAUGGUAGACAAAAAUAAAUGAAGACUCUCUUCUCUUUUAUUUUUUCCUUAUCCAAAAACUCUAGAACAGUUCUAGGUCACUCAUCCGAGAGGAGAUCAGUCUCCACUUUUGUUCACACCAAGAAAGAAGGAAACCCACCCAAAGCUCACAUCCCAAAGAAGGAUUUUCACCCUUCUUUCUCUUUAGUAUCUCACGGUGAAAAGCUCUCUAUUUUUGGUGCAUAAAAUUAUGGCUUUUUUAUGGUUGUCACACAAACCAGAUAAGACAAGAUAAGGGCAGGAGUUUGUUGCAAUUCAAACUAUUUUAAAUUUUAAUUUGACUCUAACCUUUUUUCAUCCUUAUCUAACUUAAAGAGAGACUUAUCAAAAAGAAUUAGGCAUGAAAAAAUAUUAGGAAGACUUCCUUUUUUCACACACAAUGNNN